rnacentral:rRNA from 1 species
CUGAUCCAGCAAUGCCGCGUGAGUGAAGAAGGCCUUCGGGUUGUAAAGCUCUUUUGUCAGGGAAGAAACAGCAGCUCUAACACAGUCUGCGAAUGACGGUACCUGAAGAAUAAGCACCGGCUAACUACGUGCCAGCAGCCGCGGUAAUACGUAGGGUGCAAGCGUUAAUCGGAAUUACUGGGCGUAAAGCGUGCGCAGGCGGUUAUGUAAGACAGGCGUGAAAUCCCCGGGCUUAACCUGGGAAUUGCGCUUGUGACUGCAUAGCUAGAGUAUGUCAGAGGGGGGUAGAAUUCCACGUGUAGCAGCGAAAUGCGUAGAGAUGUGGAGGAAUACCAAUGGCGAAGGCAGCCCCCUGGGAUAAUACUGACGCUCAUGCACGAAAGCGUGGGGAGCAAACAGGAUUAGAUACCCUGGUAGUCCACGCCCUAAACGAUGCUGACUAGUUGUUCGGGAAUUUAUUCCUGAGUAACGUAGCUAACGCGUGAAGUCAGCCGCCUGGGGAGUACGGUCGCAAGAUUAAAACUCAAAGGAAUUGACGGGGACCCGCACAAGCGGUGGAUGAUGUGGAUUAAUUCGAUGCAACGCGAAAAACCUUACCUACCCUUGACAUGCCACUAACGAAGUAGAGAUACAUUAGGUGCCCGUAAGGGAAAGUGGACACAGGUGCUGCAUGGCUGUCGUCAGCUCGUGUCGUGAGAUGUUGGGUUAAGUCCCGCAACGAGCGCAACCCUUGUCUUUAGUUGCUACGCAAGAGCACUCUAAAGAGACUGCCGGUGACAAACCGGAGGAAGGUGGGAUGACGUCAAGUCCUCAUGGCCCUUAUGGGUAGGGCUUCACACGUCAUACAAUGGUGCAUACAGAGGGUUGCCAACCCGCGAGGGGGAGCUAAUCUCAGAAAAUGCAUCGUAGUCCGGAUCGUAGUCUGCAACUCGACUACGUGAAGCUGGAAUCGCUAGUAAUCGCGGAUCAGAAUGUCGCGGUGAAUACGUUCCCGGGUCUUGUACACACCGCCCGUCACACCAUGGGAGUGGGUUUUGCCAGAAGCCGUUAGCCUAACCGCAAGGAGGGCGACGACCACGGCAGGGUUCAUGACUGGGGUGAAGUCGUAACAAGGU